CGAUAAGCGCCGGUAAGGUGAUAUGAACCGUUAUAACCGGCGAUACCCGAAUGGGGAAACCCAGUGUGAUUCGUCACACUAUCAUUAACUGAAUCCAUAGGUUAAUGAGGCGAACCGGGGGAACUGAAACAUCUAAGUACCCCGAGGAAAAGAAAUCAACCGAGAUUCCCCCAGUAGCGGCGAGCGAACGGGGAGGAGCCCAGAGCCUGAAUCAGCAUGUGUGUUAGUGGAAGCGUCUGGAAAGGCGCGCGAUACAGGGUGACAGCCCCGUACACAAAAGCGCAUGUGCUGUGAGCUCGAUGAGUAGGGCGGGACACGUGGUAUCCUGUCUGAAUAUGGGGGGACCAUCCUCCAAGGCUAAAUACUCCUGACUGACCGAUAGUGAACCAGUACCGUGAGGGAAAGGCGAAAAGAACCCCGGCGAGGGGAGUGAAAAAGAACCUGAAACCGUGUACGUACAAGCAGUGGGAGCACCCUUCGGGGUGUGACUGCGUACCUU
rnacentral:rRNA from 1 species